UACAGAGGUCUCAAGCGUUGUUCGGAUUCAUUGGGCGUAAAGGGUGCGUAGGCGGCGCGGUAAGUCGGGUGUGAAAUCUUGGAGCUUAACUCCGAAACUGCAUUCGAUACUGCCGGGCUAGAGUCCGGAGGAGGCGAGUGGAACUCCUGGUGUAGCGGUGGAAUGCGCAGAUAUCAGGAAGAACACCCGUGGCGAAGGCGGCUCUCUGGGGCGGUACUGACGCUGAGACGCGAAAGCGUGGGGAGCGAACAGG
rnacentral:rRNA from 1 species